AAGUAUGGAAUGAAUUACAUGGAAAAGAUCCGAAAGGCACAACAUAUGACCCGAAAAGCGAAGAGAUCAUACAAGAGGAACAAAUGAAGAGGCUAUGCUUGUUUGCAGUGGGGAAAGAGCCACGAUGGGGGGAGUAUGUCAAGAAAUGGAACGAUGUUGAGAAGGUUAGUGUGUCAAUACCCAAGUGAGUUAAGUGUAAGUCGUAUUGUUUAUUUUUUUGACUAAUGUAUGUUAUUUAAUGUCAGCUCAUCAUGAUUGUUCACUUCAACGAUCACUGGGCCACCUGUUUGGUGAAUUUCACGGACCAUGAGUUGACGAUAUAUGACUCCAAUCAGCACAAGUUCGAUGAUAUCCAUCUCGAUAUACGUCAAUGUGCUUUCUUGCCAAUCUGCAGGAUUAUACCACAGAUCCUCAAGAAGAUUGGCUAUUAUGAGAAGCGCAAUGUGGAUGGGAAAUACACAGAAUGGAUAUAUUCCUACCCAUACGAUGGAUCGAACAAUCUGA
rnacentral:lncRNA from 1 species